GAUGAACGCUGGCGGCGUGCCUAAUACAUGCAAGUCGAGCGAACAGAUGAGGAGCUUGCUCCUCUGACGUUAGCGGCGGACGGGUGAGUAACACGUGGAUAACCUACCUAUAAGACUGGGAUAACUUCGGGAAACCGGAGCUAAUACCGGAUAAUAUAUUGAACCGCAUGGUUCAAUAGUGAAAGACGGUUUUGCGUUCACUUAUAGAUGGAUCCGCGCCGCAUUAGCUAGUUGGUAAGGUAACGGCUUACCAAGGCAACGAUGCGUAGCCGACCUGAGAGGGUGAUCGGCCACACUGGAACUGAGACACGGUCCAGACUCCUACGGGAGGCAGCAGUAGGGAAUCUUCCGCAAUGGGCGAAAGCCUGACGGAGCAAAGCCGCGUGAGUGAUGAAGGUCUUCGGAUCGUAAAACUCUGUUAUUAGGGAAGAACAAAUGUGUAAGUAACUAUGCACGUCUUGACGGUACCUAAUCAGAAAGCCACGGCUAACUACGUG
rnacentral:rRNA from 1 species